UAAAACACUUAAGUCGCCCCAUAUUGGUAAAAGUAUAACAAUUACAGCCAUAUCAACAAGUUGCACAUCUAGAACAGAGUUGAAAGGUUCAACAUCCAACAGGUUAAGUUACCAAUAUAAAUAAAAAAACACAAGCUAUGAUAAAAUGGGCAUUCAUAGGUUACAACACAUCAAUUACAAUGAUAUCUUGGCAUAUCAUGUAUAAGAUUACAAGCUAUGAUAAACCAAAAUUGGACGACCCCCUUAUAAAUCUAAGAUAUUUACAAGUACAACAACACAUGCCUCUGAAGCAAAAAAAUUGAACUUCUGCCGUAGCAGCAGGAAAAAGAACUAUUAAUCUAAAAAGCAAGACAUUUCAUUGCUCUCUCUUAUGAGUUAACUUCCAAGGCAUAAAGCCAUCAUGGCCAGUUUGGGCUACCAAUAUUUUGAAAUAUUAAUUGUACAGUCAAAGAGCAACCUUCAUGGCCUUCUCCAAAUCUCAUUUGGAAGAAGAAUUUUGAUAAACCUGCAAAGAACGAAUUUUACGUUUCUUGUGGUUUUCAAUUCUUUCCACAGAGUAAAAUCAAGCAUCCCAUUUUCAAGAAAGAGUACAUGUGGUACUAAGAAACUUCAAGUACCGGCAAAAAGAAUCAUUUAUGGUACAAAAGAAAAGGAGACAGGCACUUGUGGAUUGCCACCAACGUUCCUGAUCUCGGCAGUUGAACAUAG
rnacentral:lncRNA from 1 species